AAAAACAUGGCUCCUUGUCUUCUACACAUAAGGAGUCAGACCUGCCCAGUGAAUAAUUUUUAACGGCCGCGGUACCCUGACCGUGCAAAGGUAGCAUAAUCAUUUGCCCUAUAAUUGAGGGCUAGUAUGAAUGGUUUGACGUGAACAAAACUGUCUCUACAAGAAUUUUUAGAACUUGAUUUUUAGGUGAAGAAACCUAAAUAAUAUUAAAAGACAAGAAGACCCUAUUGAGCUUGAAAGAAAUAAACGGGAAUAUAGUUAUAGGCUUUAUAGGCUUUUCCGUUUUAAAUUUUGGUUGGGGCGACUAUGGAACAAACAAAGCUUCUUUUAAAAUUAAAAAUCCACAAAUAAUGAUCCAAACAUUUUGAUUAAAGAAAUUAGUUACCGUAGGGAUAACAGCAUAAUUCUCUUUGAGAGCUCUAAUCGAAAAGAGAGUUUGUGACCUCGAUGUUGGACUAGAAUAUCCUAAAGAUGCAGCAGUCUUUAAGGGUUGGUCUGUUCGACCAUUAAAAUUCUACGUGAU
rnacentral:rRNA from 1 species